rnacentral:rRNA from 1 species
UGUGAACUCGAAGAGUAGGGCGGGACACGUGGUAUCCUGUCUGAAUAUGGGGGGACCAUCCUCCAAGGCUAAAUACUCCUGACUGACCGAUAGUGAACCAGUACCGUGAGGGAAAGGCGAAAAGAACCCCGGCGAGGGGAGUGAAAAAGAACCUGAAACCGUGUACGUACAAGCAGUGGGAGCCUCUUUAUGGGGUGACUGCGUACCUUUUGUAUAAUGGGUCAGCGACUUAUAUUCUGUAGCAAGGUUAACCGUAUAGGGGAGCCGAAGGGAAACCGAGUCUUAACUGGGCGUUAAGUUGCAGGGUAUAGACCCGAAACCCGGUGAUCUAGCCAUGGGCAGGUUGAAGGUUGGGUAACACUAACUGGAGGACCGAACCGACUAAUGUUGAAAAAUUAGCGGAUGACCUGUGGCUGGGGGUGAAAGGCCAAUCAAACCGGGAGAUAGCUGGUUCUCCCCGAAAGCUAUUUAGGUAGCGCCUCGUGAACUCAUCUUCGGGGGUAGAGCACUGUUUCGGCUAGGGGGCCAUCCCGGCUUACCAACCCGAUGCAAACUACGAAUACCGAAGAAUGUUAUCACGGGAGACACACGGCGGGUGCUAACGUCCGUCGUGAAGAGGGAAACAACCCAGACCGCCAGCUAAGGUCCCAAAGUCAUGGUUAAGUGGGAAACGAUGUGGGAAGGCACAGACAGCCAGGAUGUUGGCUUAGAAGCAGCCAUCAUUUAAAGAAAGCGUAAUAGCUCACUGGUCGAGUCGGCCUGCGCGGAAGAUGUAACGGGGCUAAACCAUGCACCGAAGCUGCGGCAGCGACGCUUAUGCGUUGUUGGGUAGGGGAGCGUUCUGUAAGCCGUUGAAGGUGGCCUGUGAGGGUUGCUGGAGGUAUCAGAAGUGCGAAUGCUGACAUAAGUAACGAUAAAGCGGGUGAAAAGCCCGCUCGCCGGAAGACCAAGGGUUCCUGUCCAACGUUAAUCGGGGCAGGGUGAGUCGACCCCUAAGGCGAGGCCGAAAGGCGUAGUCGAUGGGAAACAGGUUAAUAUUCCUGUACUUGGUGUUACUGCGAAGGGGGGACGGAGAAGGCUAUGUUAGCCGGGCGACGGUUGUCCCGGUUUAAGCAUGUAGGCGGAGGUUCCAGGUAAAUCCGGUACCUUUUAACGCUGAGGUGUGAUGACGAGGCACUACGGUGCUGAAGUAACAAAUGCCCUGCUUCCAGGAAAAGCCUCUAAGCAUCAGGUAACACGAAAUCGUACCCCAAACCGACACAGGUGGUCAGGUAGAGAAUACCAAGGCGCUUGAGAGAACUCGGGUGAAGGAACUAGGCAAAAUGGUGCCGUAACUUCGGGAGAAGGCACGCUGAUAUGUAGGUGAAGCCCCUGCGGGUGGAGCUGAAAUCAGUCGAAGAUACCAGCUGGCUGCAACUGUUUAUUAAAAACACAGCACUGUGCAAACACGAAAGUGGACGUAUACGGUGUGACGCCUGCCCGGUGCCGGAAGGUUAAUUGAUGGGGUUAGCGGCAACGCGAAGCUCUUGAUCGAAGCCCCGGUAAACGGCGGCCGUAACUAUAACGGUCCUAAGGUAGCGAAAUUCCUUGUCGGGUAAGUUCCGACCUGCACGAAUGGCGUAAUGAUGGCCAGGCUGUCUCCACCCGAGACUCAGUGAAAUUGAACUCGCUGUGAAGAUGCAGUGUACCCGCGGCAAGACGGAAAGACCCCGUGAACCUUUACUAUAGCUUGACACUGAACACUGGUCCUUGAUGUGUAGGAUAGGUGGGAGGCUUUGAAGCGUGGACGCCAGUCUGCGUGGAGCCAUCCUUGAAAUACCACCCUUUAAUGGCUGGUGUUCUAACGUAGACCCGUAAUCCGGGUUGCGGACAGUGUCUGGUGGGUAGUUUGACUGGGGCGGUCUCCUCCCAAAGAGUAACGGAGGAGCACGAAGGUUAGCUAAUCCUGGUCGGACAUCAGGAGGUUAGUGCAAUGGCAUAAGCUAGCUUGACUGCGAGAGUGACGGCUCGAGCAGGUGCGAAAGCAGGUCAUAGUGAUCCGGUGGUUCUGAAUGGAAGGGCCAUCGCUCAACGGAUAAAAGGUACUCCGGGGAUAACAGGCUGAUACCGCCCAAGAGUUCAUAUCGACGGCGGUGUUUGGCACCUCGAUGUCGGCUCAUCACAUCCUGGGGCUGAAGUAGGUCCCAAGGGUAUGGCUGUUCGCCAUUUAAAGUGGUACGCGAGCUGGGUUUAGAACGUCGUGAGACAGUUCGGUCCCUAUCUGCCGUGGGCGCUGGAGAAUUGAGGGGGGCUGCUCCUAGUACGAGAGGACCGGAGUGGACGCAUCACUGGUGUUCGGGUUGUCAUGCCAAUGGCACUGCCCGGUAGCUAAAUGCGGAAGAGAUAAGUGCUGAAAGCAUCUAAGCACGAAACUUGCCCCGAGAUGAGUUCUCCCUGAGACUUUAAGUCUCCUGAAGGAACGUUAAAGACGAUGACGUUGAUAGGUCGGGUGUGUAAGCGCAGCGAUGCGUUGAGCUAACCGAUACUAAUGAACCGUGAGGCUUAACCUUACAACGCCGAAGGUGUUU